rnacentral:lncRNA from 1 species
AGCAGAUAAAGAAAUUUUUAAACUGAGGUUUCUGUAUUUCAGAUGAUGCUACUUCAUUUCAGAAUUUAUCAGUACAGGUACAAUUCCUAGAUGUCAUCAGCAAGGCGUACUGUUACUCCUUAGUACCAUUCUGCAUUAUAGUGAACACUAUUAGGAAUACCAUGUGUAUUCUUGAAAUAAAGUCUUUAUAGUGUCUUUUUGUUCUGUAUUUUAGAAAAUUAGGCCUUCAGUUAAAUACUGUUUCAGAACCCUACAGAUACUCUUUAUUUUCCUUUAUUAUUUAAAAAUGUAAUGGUUUCUGUUUUCAAAAUCUUUGUUUUAGGGAUAAACCAAAUCUCUAUACCUCAGCUUGUAGUACAUCCUCAUCUCUAAUACUAAUUUUAUUAUUCAUUAAUGAGAUGCAAAUGAUGUAUGUUUCUCACAUGCACUGCUUAAUUGCAGUUUACACUAUCCAAAUUACAUAUGCUUCUUGUGUGAGAUAUACAAACCAUUUCAUUUCCACUUUGUUUAGUUUUGGUCGGCAAGAAGCUAUUACAGAUAUUGAUGCUUUGCCCCAUGCUUUACCCCAGUGCUGUUUGUAAGGGCUUUUUCCUCUCAAAAUCACACUCAUAGAUUUUUCCAUGCACAGCUGAUGGUGGACCUCUACCUCUGGAGAAAUCAAAAAAGUUGUGGUGUGCUCCUUCAUCGGCCAACUUGGUGCACAUACUUUAUAGGACUUGCAGGAAAUGUGAGCAUAAAUGAAUGGGAAACGUCUAGUUUAGGAUUCAGACUUUCAGUUAAGACCCUGGAAAGAAUUUAAGGAAACUAAAGUACUUCAUCAACGUGCUUGAAGGUCUUAUUUCCUACAGCACGAGGGGAAAAAAAAAAUCAAUAUUUUAUUAAAUAAGCUGUUAACCACAAAGGUUGACAUCAUCCAGCAUGAGUUCCUGAAGAAGGGAGAGCCCAACUAAAAUGCUGCAGUGGCUUUGUGCCGCAUGUCCCCAUGGAGGGGCUGGGUAGGUUCCUCACAGUGUGCCGAAGGUUUCAGUGCCAGCAGUGGUGCUGUGGGACUGGGGGGACACAAGGGAAGCAGAAACACAUCCACACUCCUUCCUGCAUGGAGCUGUGGUAUAUCCACUGUGAAGGACGUGAAAGAUUUCUAGUUCUUUCUCAUUUCUUUUCUGCCAUUUUUUUCGUAGUAUUAUCUCUGUGUUUGGAAGAUCUCCAAGGCAGACACUGCUAAUUCUCAAUUUCUGUGGCACAUUAGUGGAUUUGCAGUUUUGGCAGUUUUGAAGAAUCAAUCUCCAAGCAGCAGCUUAGACAUUUUUCCAAAUGCCUGUAUGCAGAGUUAAAAAAAUAUAUUAUGUAUUUAUAUAAAGUAUGUUAUAUAUCAAAUAUAAAGAUAUAUGGAUUGGUUUUGUAGGGUUCCACUGAGGUCCUUUGCUGUGGUCCCCAGUCAAUCUGGUAGAUCCACCUGGGUGGGUUUCAGUACGUCCUGUCCUCAGCCACAGUUCUGCUUUGCUGUGCCUUAUUGGGACCCUUUUAAACUCUGGCCAUUAAGGGAAGCCCUGGCAGAUCACUUACCGGCCUUUUGCUAGACAUAGGCAGCUCUGAAUAACCUGUCUAAACAAAGGGAACAUCUUGUCCCUGAUUUAUAUCUGUCAGUGCAGCGAAUAUGCAGUUUUUCCAGUGUUCCAGUGCUUCACUACCCUUACCACAAAAAACCUCCUUAUAUACAGUCUAAAUCUUCUCUCUUUUAGUUUGAAACCAUUUUCCCUUUUCCUGUCACAACAGACCCUGCUAAGGAGUCUGUCCCCUUCUUUCUUACAGCUCUCCUUUAGAUACUGAAAGGCUCCCCAGAGCUUUCUCUUCUCCAGGCUGAAUACUCCCAGCUCUCUCAGCCUGUCCUUGUAGGAGAGGUGUUUCGUCCCUUGAAUCACUUCUGUGGCCCUCUUCUGGAUGUGCUCCAACAGGUCUGUGUCUCUCCUGUACUGAGCACUCUACAUCUGGAUGCAGUGCUCCAGGUGAGGUCUUGCCAGCACAGAGUAGAGGGGCAGGAUCACCUCUCUCGCCCUGCUGGCCACAUUUCUUUUGAUGCAUCCCAGGGUAUACGGCUGACUUUUUGGUCUGCAAGGGCACAUUGCUGGCUCAUGCUCAGCUUGCCAUCCACCUGUACCCCCAGGUCCUUUUUGGCAGGGCUGUGCUCUAUUCUUACAUUCCCCAGCUUGUAUUGAUAGGCAGGGUUGCUAUGACCCAGGUGCAAGAGCUUGCACUUGGCUUUGUUGGACAUCAUGAUGAUCACCUGGGCCCACUGCUUCAGCUUAUCUAGGUCUCUCUGGAUGGUAUCCCAUCCCUCAGCUUGGUGUUGUCUACAGGCUUGCUGAGGGUGCACUCAAUCCACUGUUCAUGGCUUUGAUGAAGAUAUUAAAGAGCAUUGGUCCCAGUAAUGAUGAGUCCUCCUUGUUGUACCUUUCCCCAUUCAAAAGGUGUUCCAACCUUUGGGCAACCCUCUUGCCUUUGUCCUACACCUGUACCAUUUUUACCAUGAUUUUUGAAAUGAUGGGGCCUGAACUGUCCCCACUGAAACAGGAGGGAUGCACCAUUUUCACAGUGCCACCAUUUAGUUUCUGUUUUGAUUUUAAGCCUUUCCUAGGAACUUUUUGAGCACUGAUAACAGUGAACUGAGAGCUUUCCACAUAGAAUUAUCAGCAGUAACUCCUAGUUCUCUUUUCUGAGUGGUAAUAACCAAUUUAAAACCCAUUAAAUUAUAUAUAUGUAGUUAAGGUUGUUUUCCUCCAUGUUCACUGCUUUACAUUUAUUGACAUUGAAUUUUGUCUGCUAUUUUACUGCCUGCACAUUCAGAGCAGGUCCAUCGGGCUAAAUGUAGAUGAAUGGCCUCAGCCAUUCAUUCCCAUUUCACUGUGAAAGUGGAUAGAAAGAGGCAUUUCUAGAGCUGAUUCCUCAAAUUCUAAUGUAACUGUCUCUUACACAUCAGAGGAAUCCAGUCUCAGAAAUACCUCUUUCCACUGAUUACUAACGAGCCUCAGGUGUCUCAGUUUCUCUAACACCUAUGUUGAAGAUGUCCACAUCUUCAACAUAGAGUAAUUGAGUGAGAGUAAUUCUGUGUGUUAGACUGAAAGCUGUUCCUGUGACACUCUGCAGUCAGCUUUAGUCUAUAUUGUCCUAAAGUUCACAACAUCAGUAACCUUUGCUACGCUGUUUGUAGAUGAUGGUGGGACUCCCUUGGAAAUCACUCUUUUUGUGAAAAAAAAAAAAAAAAAAUUAAAUCCUUUACUCCUACUCCUUCUUCUUGACUCACUAUGAGAUCUUUAUUUAUCUACUCUCUUGAUCUUGUCAAAACCUUUCUGCAAACACAGGCAUCCUGUAGCACUAACACACCACCACAACUUGUGAUCACACUGACACUUUCAAAGGAGCUCAAUGGAUUUAUGAGGCAAGAUUUUCUCUCCACAGAAGCCACUAUACUUUCUUCCCUUUGUAUCAUGUUUAUCCUAGAUCUUUUAAUGAUAUGCUUCAUCGUAAUUUUCCCAGGUUAGUGUUUCCAAGUCAUCAUUAUGGAUCUGUUAAUCUCUGGACCUCUCCUAAUUUUCCUCUCCAGAGCUGGGAUCACCUUUGCCACGUUUUAUUCCCUGAACACCUGUUAAGUGGUAGGUUGUGCACUGCAGCUAGCGGGUCUUUUACAGCCCUGGGGAAAUAUAAUACAGUCCUGCUGAUUAAUUACUGCUUAUUUUAUUGAUCUGUUCUAAAUCUUUCUCUACUAAAUUUGAGUUACUCCUAUUUUCUUCUCACCAGGAAAGCCCAUGCUAUGGGAAUCUCCCUGAAAUGCUCUUCAGUAUUUAGAGCCCACUUAACUUUUCCCUUUCUGAAAGCCCCCUGGGCCUUAUCGAUUACCUAUCAGGCUGCUGGCUUCCAUUGUGUUUGGGGAAGGUCUGAGGGUUUUUUUUUAUUCCUUUAACUAGUCUCUCAAACAGUUUCUGACCUACCUCCUCACCAUUUCACUGUUUCCUCACCAAAACGUACUCUUUACAGACCUCCUAGGGCAUGGGUGUCCAACCUUUUGACUUACCCAGGCUGCACAGAGGAAAGAAAAAUUGUGUUGGGUGUAUGUAUGUAGGUUGUUCUGAAAGUCAUGCCUCCUAUUCAUUUCUGUGGAAACUACAGUCGAUACAAAAGCACAGUAACACUAUUUGAUAGAGCCAGUUCUCAGCUGCAGAACACUAUUCUUCAACAUAGUCACCACCAUUAGCUCUGCAUUUUUAUUAGUGAUGAAAAAUUGCCUGCAUGCCAUGCUUGUAAAAAUCUGCACUGGUGGAGGUGACCCACUGUUGCUGUUGCCACUGCUUAUAUGCACCACUCACUGCCUCACUGUGCUCACAUCCACUGUUUGGUCUCCAGAAACAUUCACAAGUGUUGAUGAAUGUUAAUGGGUGCAAUUUUUUUCCACAUGGAGGAAUUCAGUGACACAGCUUUACUUCAUAUGCACGUCAGGUGCCAUUCAGUCAGACCGCCCCUCUGCUGCCAUCUGUCGCACAACAACAAAAUACAAUGGAAUACCAGUGGGAUGGUUCAGCCUCUACUUUCAAACAACCAACAUCCUCCUCUAAUACUGUGGGCCAACAUAAUAAAGCAGCAUAAAUAAAAUAAAGGAGGUUCUACUUUUGGAGCAGUCCUCAUAAAAUCUACUAGUAUAGUGAAUGUAUAUAUAAGUAAUAAAACAUGUUAUUUUUUAAUAUUUUUUAUUAAAACAUAAAAAGGAGAGCAACAAAACCAUAAAACUAGAGGGAUAUUGAAUCUUGUUUCUGUGAAACUAAUGCAUCAGGUUGGCAGUGAUUCGAUGGCAGUGGUUGCCGUUCUCAUUGAGUUCUCAAGGUGUUUGUCAGAGAUUUUUGAUGAAAUUUUAUUCUUCCUGUGAUUCAUCUUUGAAAACAGUUGUUCACAAAUGUACGUACUGCCAACAGUGAUGACAUGGAUAAGGAGUGACUGUGAAGUGAAGGAUAUUUCUCUCUGAUAAAAGAGGGCUUAUGAAAGUCCAGUAGAGAGACAUGAUCAAGUUUUUCAGUUGAAUAUCUGAUUGCAACUCUGUGCAUUUCAUUUGAAAAUUUGCAGGUCAUGUAUUUAUGUCAACUGGAAAAGGAGUCACAAAUAAACCAAAAAAAAUUGGGAUUUUUUUUGCAAUCUUGAAACCUGUUCUCAAAUUCCCGUAUCAAAAUGGAAAGCAAGGCUGCAUAUUUUUUGCUGUUCACUGUGACUGUGUUUAGCGAAUGUAUGAAAAUCCAUAAACUUAUUUACCGUAACUUGAGCAGGCACUGCACUGUGCUCUCUCCAUGACCCGGUUUCAGCCCAGAUGGGGUUAAUAAAGCACUGGUGUUUGGUAAUUGAUAAGUGAUGGGUGUGCAUGGGGCAGAGCUGCCACCAUGAUGGCGAGGGGCAGAGGGCAGCCACAUGGCGAGAUGUGCCAGGCCGCAUGUGGCCCAUGGGCUGCAGCAGGCUGCAUGCUGCAGGUUGGACAUGUCUGUCCAGUGAUUUGUUUGGUAUGUUGUUUGUAUCAGUCACUUAUUUUUCUUUUUUUUAUGUCAUAGAAGUAGAACAAUAUACUGUUCACAGUGGAUUAGAGGGAGUGAACCAAUGGCCUAGGUUCAGCAUAUAGAGAGUAAUUUCCAUGAGUCUGAAAUGGUUGAGUAUAGGCAGUUCAGGCAGCCUUCCUUCCUUUCUAAGCCAUUUUUAGGCUGUUCUCUAAAAAGAAAAGAAAAAAAAAACGUAAGAACACCUUCCAUUUUUAAAUUAAUUGAGUUAAUUCUGUUCUCUCAAGAGAGGAACUUCCUCGGAGGAAGGUCAAUAACAUAAUUAGCAAAACAUAAUUAAGAAAGUGCUGCUGAAAAAUGAAGUUAGUGGCCACAUGCUUCCCCUGCUAGAGAGGUGGGAGCUAUGGUUGAGAUGGGGGCAUCGCUGAUCCUGCAUGCCAAAACCUGCUUCUAGUAAGCACAAUGCUGGGGGGUAACAGGCAGUGUUUGUCCAUUGAUUUGGCUUGUGGAGAAGUCAGAAUUUGGCCAGAAAAGAUCUCUAGGCCAUAUAUUUCUGACAUUUGAAAUUCAAUGUGUACUAUACUUGGGUUUUAAGCAUUAGAUCUUUUGCAGUUGUGCGUGACAAGUGUGCAUAAAAGGCACAGAAUCAUAAAAUCACUGACUAUCCCAGGUUGGAAGGGACACAUAAGGGUCACUGAGUCCAGCUGCACAAGACCACUCAAAAAACUGACCAUAUGUCUGAGAGUGUUGUCCAGAGGCUCCUUGAACUCUGGCAGCUUGGGGCUGUGACCUCUACCCUGGGCAGCCUGUUCCAUGCCCAUCACCUUCUGGUGAAGAAUCUUUUCCUAACCUGACUCUUCCCUGAUGCAGCUCCAUGCCAUUCUUUGGGCCCAGGGUCUGCUGUCCCCAGAGAGAGGAGAUUAGCGCUGCCCCUUUGCUCUACUUGUGAGGAGCUGCAGCCACCAUGAGGCCUCUCCUCAGCCUCCUCUGCUCUUGCCUGAACAAACCAAGGGACCUCAGCCACUCCUCAUACAUCUUGCCCUCAAGACUCUUCACCAUCUGUGUAGCAUACUUUAUGCUCCUUUUUUCAAAAAUCAGUUUUUCAUUACAUACUCAUUUGUAACACUCAAUGUUUUCAAUUUGUACUUUGAUAUUUAUUUGCAGCUAUGAGCUUGUCUGAAGUCUGAAACAACAUAAAGCCUACUAAUUCAGUGCACACUCUCCAUUUAUUUUAUCUUAAUGAACCCUCUAAUCUCUGGGAGGGUUUUGUAGAGGGAAUCACAACAAAUUUUGAAUAAUAGCCAUAUUUGAAGGUUUGGAGCUCUGUGUGUGACAGCUCAUAAAUACUAAAAUCAACAGUUAUCUAAUCAAUUACUGGUGAAUUAUUUUUGAUUUUUGCUCUAUUAAGUACCACAGGAACAGAAGAAUUGCCGUAUUUUAGCAGACCACUAGACAGAUGGGCCCAUUACUGUUUCUUGCUCAGUGGCCAGUACCACAUUUCAAAGAAAGGUUCAACAAAAUGAUGUAGUAACCCACCCACAGGAGUAGCUCUUCUAAACUUCCAGCAACUGAUACCUGAUUUAUGCCUUCAGUGGGGGCAAUGAAAACCCCAAAUGGCUUCACACAUCUCUUCCCACAAUGACUUUUGAGUAUUUGACAGCCUGCAGACCAGCUUUGGGAUGAACUCACAUCUUGUGGUUUUGGUUUUGAUUUUAUUUUUUAAAGAAAAGUUAGUGGCAUUUCAGGUAUUUAGUUGGUUGCUUCAGGAGAAGAACACCUGUAUUUAUCUCCGUAACAGAUGCUAGAACGGCAUUUUCCUCACACUGGAGGAAAAAGGGAUUUUACCUGAAAGGAAAAGAGAUUUUCCUCACACUGUUCUAUACGGAUAAUUUAACCACAGUAUUGACAGAGGGAAUUAAGUCAAGUCCAUCUCAUCUCCUCAUUUUGGCUUCUCAAACUCCAGUCCUUAUUCAAUGGGCCCAGAGCACAACAGGGUUUAAUGAUACAGCUACAUUCUCACUUUUAGUAAAUGGGUUAAGACUAACAGCUGAUUUUAUGUGUAGGAAUGACAUCUGCCAGUUGCUAAGCACGAUUAUCUUUCAGUCACUAGUAUGCAGAAUUGUCUUCAUUAACAAGUAAAAAUCUUAUGGGAUUUUUAAUUGCCCAUAAAUUUUUUUCUCCUAUGAUUCAAUUUUCACUUGGGUAUUUAAUACUGGUAAGACUGUAAACUCUAUUAAUUUGGUCAUGAGUAGCAUAUCUUGAGGUGUUUGAGUGCUCUUACUGAGGUUUUUCUGGUGUUCAUUUACACUAUUCCAGAUUUUAUUUAGUGGAUCAUGAUUUUUUUUUCUGUAUUUUUUUUAGUAUGGAUGUAAUUCAUUUGGCAACACUACUUAGGCAUGGAUGGCUGAUGGACCAAUACAAGUCAUUGGCUACAGAGAAGGUUAAUCAGAGAAAUGUUCUCAUUAACCUGAAUCUGAUUCUCCUCUUCAUUACUGAAAACUAGAUCAUUUUCACUAUGCAGGUAAGUAAUGAGUUACCUUAUUAUAACAUACGUUCAUAUAUAUAUUUAAUGUGUGCGUUUGUAGCUUCUAUGAGAGCUUUAUAAAAUAAAUAAUAUAUUGUGCAGAAACAUUUUAUAUUGCCUUGAGAACAGAAAAACACACUACAUAUAUAGGAACAGAAUACUGCUCGUUUCCAGUGCAUAAAUGCACAAGAACAACUCUCAGAAGUUUAUUUUGUUAGCUGGUGACCUUGAUAGCUCUUCUUUUCUACAGUUUUUCUGUUUUCUGUGUUCUUGUGUUGGCUUCCUAUUUUCUUUCUUUCUUUUUUUUUUAAUUUAGUAUCCUGUCCAUUUAAUAAUUCAAUAUUUUAUGAAGAUAUUUCAUUUUCCUUGAACUGAUUCCUUGCUUAAAGUACAUGACGUUCCAUUCCUUUUGGUGGUGAUUCUCAUUUUGUCUACCCAGUUUUUCACAAAACCUUAGUAGACUCACGAAUGGUACACUAUUGUCUCUUAACAAAGUGCUUAUGUUUUUAAAACUGAUCUUCUCAUUGUGAGCUUUAUUUCUCAGACUGUCAGGUAAAAACCUACUUAUUUAUUUAUUUUGGCAAACACAUGAUGCCAAUAUUUCAUGGUGAGUAUUGUGUAGACAGCAGAUCAACUUGCUUCCUGAGCAAUUCAAACAUGACAAAGUUAUUCACCUAUUUUUUCAACUAUUCAUGAAAAUGGACUUCAUGCAUGCUUCCAUUUAUGUGCAUAGGAGAGAUCAAGACUAAAGGAGCCCAGGGUGUCCUCUAUUUGCAGCCACUGGACUUUACUGCAAGAUUCAUGCUGUAGAGAGAGCUGGAAGCAGUACUAACAAUUUAUCUGGAGAAACCAAGAGCACCACCCAGUUACAGGCAGUUGGCCACAUGAAGAUCUAGGUUAAAACUACCUUGGCUGGAGAAGAGGGUGGAAGCAAGGCUACCACAGCAAAAGAUGUGUCCUUGCUGCUCCUAGAAAGGAAGGAAAGCAUGAAGGCAUCUGCAGCCUCUUGGGGCUGGGAAGGGACUUUCAUCCCCAGCCCUUUCGUGUCUGUGAGCCUGAGCAACAGCAAGGAAACUGAAUUUGGCCAGAAACCAAACUGAAGAGGAGUACAUUCAUUCCUGGAGUGACUCUACUGACCUCCCUAGAGCUGCUCCAGAGUUCAGGCCAGCCUUGACCUGCUUUUCUGCAAAUUGUGUGGCUGGGGAAAUGCUGUUCCAUCCAUCUUUGCUCAAAGUAAUAACAAGAGAAUUCAGAAGGGUUCAGGGAAGGGUGACAAACAUGACUAGAGCAGAAGAAAGCUCUCAUAUCAAGGGAGAUUGAUAAGGUUGCAGUUGCUUCUCUUAGAAAUGAGACAAAUGAAAAGGAGACGUAAAAAAAGGAGACAAAAUAAUAAAUAGUCUAGGAGAACUCAUCCACACACCCUUUGUGAUCUGCUAAAGGGCUUCUAGAGGUCCAUGGCAAUGUAAUCAAAUUAAGGCCCUGCUACCUGUCUCUCCUCUCUGGCUGGCUGCACUGCUGGGCUCUCUGCUUGAGUCUCUUUUUGACUGUUGGGGUAUAAAGACUGAAAACCAGUACAGUACUAUACGGCAGACAACAAAUGACAUUUGAAGCGAUUGUGCUUUGCAGCAAGACUUUCACCAGGUUCAACCUAACUCCUACCUUCAACUCCUUGAGUUCAAAACCAGCAAUGCACUGCUUGGAAGAGAAACUUGUGCAAAUAAUUUCAUGUCACACAGUGGACUAUGUUUUUAAAAGGGCUCUUCCUGUGCUCUUCUGUCUUAGUUACAUCUCUGCACAAGCCAUUCCUAUGGCUGAAAAGACCACAUGCAUUUUUUUUUUUAAUCAUUUAUGGACUAAUGUAACACCGGAGUCAUCAAAGCUUGAAAGCCACAAAGAUAAACAGGCUAAAAUACAUUACAUGUCUUGAGCUGUCCUAGCAGUUCGUUGCUUCCACUGAAUGAAGCACUUUGCAUCCUGCCAUUCCUACCGCUGGUAUUUAUUUGCCUUGGGCUCUGCUGAGCUGAUGUGGUCACACUGCAGUCAGAAACAUAACAUGACAAAAAAACAGGAACACUCAUCUGCUUGGAUGGUGAUCUGAGCCAACUGACUGUCACUGCAGCAAGUGACAAUUGGGUUCCACUUUUAGAUGUGAGACACUCAGCUUAGUUUCUUUUUCUUUCUUCUUCUCUUUUUCUUUCUUUCUCUUUUUCUUUUUCUUUUUCUUUUCCUUUUCCUUUUUUCUUUUUCUUUCUUUUUCUUUUUCUUUCUUUUCCUUUUCCUUUUCCUUUUCCAUUUCCUUUUCCUUUUCCUUUUCCUUUUUCCUUUUCCUUUUCCUUUUCCUUUUCCUUUUCCUUUUUCUUUUCUUUUUCUUUUUCUUUUCUUUUUCUUUCUUUUCCUUUUCCUUUUCCUUUUCCUUUUCCUUUUUCUUUUUCUUUUUCUUUUUCUUUUUCUUUUUCUUUUUCUUUUUCUU